AACGCUGGCUGUGUGCCUAAUACAUGCAUGUCGAACGCUGCUAGCAAUAGCAGAGUGGCAAAUGGGUGAGUAACACGUACUUAACGUACCUCUUAGAUUGGUAUAACGACCAGAAAUGGUCGCUAAUUCCAAAUACUUGUAUUUCUCGCAUGAGAGAUACAUAAAAGGAGCUUUCAAGCUUCACUAAGAGAUCGGGGUGCGCAACAUUAGUUAGUUGGUAGGGUAAUGGCCUACCAAGACGAUGAUGUUUAGCGGGGUUGAGAGACUGAACCGCCACACUGGGACUGAGAUACGGCCCAGACUCCUACGGGAGGCAGCAGUAGGGAAUAUUCCACAAUGAGCGAAAGCUUGAUGGAGCGACACAGCGUGCUUGAUGAAGGCCUUCGGGUUGUAAAGAGCUGUGGUAAGGGAAGAAAAAGUAGUAUAGGAAAUGAUAUUACCUUGACGGUACCUUACUAGAAAGCAACGGCUAACUAUGUGCCAGCAGCCGCGGUAAUACAUAGGUUGCAAGCGUUAUCCGGAAUUAUUGGGCGUAAAGCGUCUGUAGGUUGUGUGUUAAGUCUGGCGUUAAAUUUUGGGGCUCAACCCCAACACGCGUUGGAUACUGGCAUACUAGAGUUAUGUAGAGGUUAGCGGAAUUCCUUGUGAAGCGGUGAAAUGCGUAGAUAUAAGGAAGAACACCAAAAUGGCGAAGGCAGCUAACUGGACAUACACUGACACUGAGAGACGAAAGCGUGGGGAGCAAACAGGAUUAGAUACCCUGGUAGUCCACGCCGUAAACGAUGAUCAUUAGCUGAUGGGGGAACUUCAUCGGCGCAGCUAACGCAUUAAAUGAUCCGCCUGAGUAGUAUGCUCGCAAGAGUAAAACUUAAAGGAAUUGACGGGGACCCGCACAAGCGGUGGAGCAUGUGGUUUAAUUUGAAGAUACGCGUAGAACCUUACCCACUCUUGACAUCUUCCGCAAAGCUAUAGAGAUAUAGUGGAGGUUAACGGAAUGACAGAUGGUGCAUGGUUGUCGUCAGCUCGUGUCGUGAGAUGUUUGGUUAAGUCCUGCAACGAGCGCAACCCUUAUCCUUAGUUACUACAUUAAGUUGAGGACUCUAAGGAGACUGCCCGAGUAAUCGGGAGGAAGGUGGGGACGACGUCAAAUCAUCAUGCCUCUUACGAGUGGGGCAACACACGUGCUACAAUGGGCGAUACAAAGAGAUGCAAUAUGGUGACAUGGAGCAAACCUCAAAAAAUCGCUCUCAGUUCGGAUUGGAGUCUGCAACUCGACUCCAUGAAGUCGGAAUCGCUAGUAAUCGUAGAUCAGCUACGCUACGGUGAAUACGUUCUCGGGUCUUGUACACACCGCCCGUCACACCAUGGGAGCUGGUAAUACCCGAAGUCGGUUUAUAAACAAACUGCCUAAGGUAGGACUGGUGACUGGGGUGAAGUCGUAACAAGGUAUCCCUACGAGAACGUGGGGAUGGAUCACCUCCUUUCUACGGAGUACAUACUUAACGUUUUUUAAUGACCUAUUAACUUAUAUAUCUGUUAUGUUGCUUUUUUAUGGUCGAAGCUUGUAUCUAGUUUUGAGAGUACAACUCUCAUUGUUCUUUGAAAACUGAAUAGUAGUAAUUUAAGAAUAUUACAACGACAUCAAAAAUAGAAUUAAUUAAAUGGUUAAUUUGUUUUGAUUCAUCGAGUAAUCAUAGAUAUAUGAUUCAUUGAAAUGUCUUAAAAUACACAUCAUAAUAAAUCAAUAGGAAAAUACUUUUAAAUAAGUAAGAGUUUGUGGUGGAUGCCUUGGGUCUGAAAGUCGAUGAAGGACGUGAUUACCUGCGAUAAGCCUCGUGGAGCCGGAUAUGUGCUAUGAAACGGGGAUUUCCGAAUGGGGAAACCUAACUAGGGUUAUGCCUAGUUGCAAAUGCGAGACACCUUGUGAACUGAAACAUCUUAGUAGCAAGAGGAAAAGAAAAUAAAUAAUGAUUUCUUCAGUAGCGGCGAGCGAACGAGAAAGAGCCCAAACCACUUUUUAAAGUGGGGUUGUAGGACAAUCUACAUAGAGUUACAAACCUUAAUGAUAGCAGAAGCUUUUGGGAAGAAGCGACAUAGAGGGUGAUAUCCCCGUAUGCGAAAUUGUUAAGGCUCUUGAUUGUAUCCUGAGUAGGGCGGGGCACGUGAAACCCUGUCUGAAUCUGCCGGGACCACCCGGUAAGGCUAAAUACUAAUCAGACACCGAU
rnacentral:rRNA from 1 species